rnacentral:rRNA from 1 species
GUGCCAGCAGCCGCGGUAAUACUGAAGGUGCAAGCGUUAAUCGGAAUCACUGGGCGUAAAGCGCUCGUAGGUGGCUUUGUAAGUCAGGUGUGAAAGCCCACGGCUCAACCGUGGAAUUGCACUUGAUACUGCAUCGCUAGAGUAUAGGAGAGGGAAGUGGAAUUUCUGGUGUAGGAGUGAAAUCCGUAGAGAUCAGAAGGAACACCCGUGGCGAAGGCGACUUCCUGGACUAUUACUGACACUGAGGAGCGAAAGCGUGGGGAGCAAACAGGAUUAGAUACCCCCGUAGUCCC